rnacentral:misc_RNA from 1 species
AAGUCGUAACAAGGUCUCCGUUGGUGAACCAGCGGAGGGAUCAUUACAGAGUUGCAAAACUCCAACAAACCAUCGCGAAUCUUACCCGUACGGUUGCCUCGGCGCUGGCGGUCCGGAAGGCCCUCGGGCCCCCCGGAUCCUCGGGUCUCCCGCUCGCGGGAGGCUGCCCGCCGGAGUGCCGAAACCAAACUCUUGAUAUUUUAUGUCUCUCUGAGUAAACUUUUAAAUAAGUCAAAACUUUCAACAACGGAUCUCUUGGCUCUC